AGUAAACAUGAAAUGAGUCCUAUGAGGCAGUCUGUUUAAGAUCAUUGACAGACCUGAGAGUUUUCUAAAUGGCCUUCCCCUUACAGUCUGGGAAGAAAAUGUCCGUAAUAUAAUUCCUAUAGGAUUAGAGGAAAGAGGGAAGGCAAUGAAGGUUCCAUUUCUGCUGGGAAUAUCCACCGCUGAGAGGGACAUAUCUGUCUCCAUGGCUGUCAUCUGCUCUGCAAAAGCCCUGCCUUGAGACUCUCAGGGAACAUGAAUCUGAUGUGGACCCUUCUCCUCCUCCUGCUGGAGCUAGCUGUCUUCGCUCCAGGCCUGCCCUUCUCAAGACGGCACAUAGAUAACCCCAGGUCAUGGGUUCCUGGGGGACAGCACCGAUACUGUGAAGUGAUGAUGCGGCGACGGUGGCUGGUCCACAGGGGUAGAUGCAAGCAGAUCAACACCUUCAUUCACGAGGAUCUGGCCACCAUAGCAGAUUUCUGCACAACUCCAGCUGUGCCCUGUACCAGCAGCGGUUCCCUGCAGAGCUGCCACAACAGCUCUCACGACGUCAGUGUCACAGACUGCUUUGCCAAGAUUCCUCGAGGGGAGUGAGGUCAUCAUGGCUCUGAAGUCUCCAGUCGCGUUGCCACUGCUGGUCCUGGUGCUGCUGCUGCUGCAGGUCCAGCCUUCCCUGGGCAAGGAAUCUGCAGCCGCCAAGUUCGAGCGGCAGCACAUGCACUCUGGCAGCUCCCCAAGCAGCAACUCCAACUACUGCAACCUGAUGAUGUUCUGCCGGAAGAUGACUCAGGGAAAUGCAAGCCAGUGAACACCUUUGUGCAUGAGUCCCUGGCCGAUGUCAAGGCCGUGUGCUCCCAGAAGAAAGUCGCCUGCAAGAAUGGGCAGAUCAACUGCUACCAGAGCAACUCCGCCAUGCGCAUCGCAGACUGCCGCCAGACUGGCAGCUCCAAGUACC
ensembl:lncRNA